rnacentral:rRNA from 1 species
GAUGAACGCUAGCGGCAGGCUUAACACAUGCAAGUCGAGGGGUAUAGGGAGCUUGCUUCCUAGAGACCGGCGCACGGGUGCGUAACGCGUAUGCAAUCUACCUUUUGCAGAGGGAUAGCCCAGAGAAAUUUGGAUUAAUACCUCAUAGUAUGUGAGAAUGGCAUCAUUUUCACAUUAAAGUCACAACGGCAAAAGAUGAGCAUGCGUCCCAUUAGCUUGUUGGUAAGGUAACGGCUUACCAAGGCAACGAUGGGUAAGGGGUCCGUGAGAGGGAGAUCCCCCACACUGGUACUGAAACACGGACCAGACUCCUACGGGAGGCAGCAGUGAGGAAUAUUGGACAAUAGGGCGCAAAGCCUGAUCCAGCCAUGCCGCGUGCAGGAAUAAGGCCUAUGGAUGUAAACUGCUUUAUACAGGAAGAAACACAACCCUCCGUGAAGGGUACGUUAGACGGUACGUAGUAUGAAU